AGGGACAUAGUUUAACGGUAAAACUACGGUCUCCAAAACCGUCGAUCUGGGUUCGAUUCCUAGUGUCCCUG
rnacentral:tRNA from 11 species